GUCGAACGCUGGCGGCGUGCCUAAUACAUGCAAGUAGAACGCUGAAGAGAGGAGCUUGCUCUUCUUGGAUGAGUUGCGAACGGGUGAGUAACGCGUAGGUAACCUGCCUUGUAGCGGGGGAUAACUAUUGGAAACGAUAGCUAAUACCGCAUAACAAUGGAUGACACAUGUCAUUUAUUUGAAAGGGGCAAUUGCUCCACUACAAGAUGGACCUGCGUUGUAUUAGCUAGUAGGUGAGGUAACGGCUCACCUAGGCGACGAUACAUAGCCGACCUGAGAGGGUGAUCGGCCACACUGGGACUGAGACACGGCCCAGACUCCUACGGGAGGCAGCAGUAGGGAAUCUUCGGCAAUGGGGGCAACCCUGACCGAGCAACGCCGCGUGAGUGAAGAAGGGUUUCGGAUCGUAAAGCUCUGUUGUAAGUCAAGAACGAGUGUGAGAGUGGAAAGUUCACACUGUGACGGUAGCUUACCAGAAAGGGACGGCUAACUACGUG
rnacentral:rRNA from 1 species